GAGAGAGAGAGAGAGAGAGAGAGCGAGCGGGAGAAGGAUCGAAGGCGAGAAGGUUUCAGGUGCGCUGCAAUCCUUGCAUUGGUACUUAUUCAUCUCAAAUUUGUGUUAUUAAUUGGUGAUCUCGUGUGUGCUGAAAGCCGAAUCGACGGCUGCGGUCUCUCCACUCGAGUUUACCGUCGGGUUUUCCUCAGAUGUCAGCCUCUGAACAACAUAUGGCUUGGACUCAUGCAUCAUGGGAGAAGUUUGCUAUAUCGUCCCUAGGUUGUGGAAUGUGAGUUGCUGGUGGUCCUUGCAAUCGAAUUACCAUACGAGGGACAUGACCCAGUUGAGGUAUGCUUCAGUUGACUGCUGAGGUGCAAGCCGUUUGACACAUACCCAAGAACUUACGAUCUCUUGCAUGCAUCUGGCCUCUUCUCCAUCGAGCAAAAAUGAUGCAACAUCUCCAGCAUCAUGCUUGAGAUGGAUCGGAUGCUGAGACCCGGCGGGUGUGCCUACAUUCAUGUAUUUUCUAGGUUCUCGUUGCAUGUUCCAAGCAGCAUGACUGUGGCUCUAGUUGGAGAGAGCGGCAGUGGGAAGUCGACAGUGAUCAGCCUGUUGGAGAGGUUCUUGACCCCCAAGCUGGUGAAGUGCUCAUAGAUGGCAUCAACUUGAAGAAGCUGCAGCUUGGAUGGAUCAGAGAGAAGAUCGGUCUUGUUAGCCAAGAGCCCAUCUUAUUCACAACUACUAUAAAGGAGAAUAUCACAUAUGGUAAGGAGGGUGCUACAUUGGAAGAAAUCAGAACAGUAACUGAGAUUGCUAAUGUUGCAAGGUUCAAAGACAAGAUGCUACAGGUCACUUGUACUCUUUUUUUUUUUUUUUUAUUUUGGUAAAUUCAUACUACUCUCUCAAAGAUGUCGUGGGUGGAAGGCUAGGAAAGGAAGACAUUUGCAGUUUGUUUUGGUAAAUUAAUUGUUUUGUUGA